CUUGCUAGGCUGCUACCACCAACUAUACCAACUAUAUCUUAUCAGUUUAAUAUCUGAUACGUCCCCCAGCGGGGGACUACAUAUUAAGCGGAUUUUUAGAACAGGGAGUCGGCAAAGGAGCUUGCUCCAUCCGCUCCAGGCAUCCCAGUAUUGCAGUGCCUCUGGGGCAGUGGUGGCCUA
ensembl:snRNA U2 U2 spliceosomal RNA